rnacentral:rRNA from 1 species
AUUGAACGCUGGCGGCAUGCCUUACACAUGCAAGUCGAACGGCAGCACGGGUGCUUGCACCUGGUGGCGAGUGGCGAACGGGUGAGUAAUACAUCGGAACGUACCUUAUCGUGGGGGAUAACGCAGCGAAAGUUGCGCUAAUACCGCAUACGCCCUGAGGGGGAAAGCGGGGGACCGCAAGGCCUCGCGCGAUUACAGCGGCCGAUGUCUGAUUAGCUUGUUGGUGAGGUAAAAGCUCACCAAGGCGAUGAUCAGUAGCUGGUCUGAGAGGACGAUCAGCCACACUGGGACUGAGACACGGCCCAGACUCCUACGGGAGGCAGCAGUGGGGAAUUUUGGACAAUGGGGGCAACCCUGAUCCAGCAAUGCCGCGUGAGUGAAGAAGGCCUUCGGGUUGUAAAGCUCUUUUGUCAGGGAAGAAACAGCAGCUCUAACACAGUCUGCGAAUGACGGUACCUGAAGAAUAAGCACCGGCUAACUACGUGCCAGCCGCCGCCGUAA